rnacentral:rRNA from 1 species
AUACGUAGGGGGCGAGCGUUGUCCGGAAUGAUUGGGCGUAAAGGGCGCGUAGGCGGCUUUGCAAGUCAGUAGUGGAAGUCCAUUUUUCAAGGAUGGAAGUGCUACAGAAACUGCGGAGCUUGAGUGCAGGAGAGGUUAUCGGAAUUCCCGGUGUAGCGGUGAAAUGCGUAGAGAUCGGGAGGAACACCAGUGGCGAAGGCGGGUAACUGGACUGCAACUGACGCUGAGGCGCGAAAGUGUGGGGAGCAAACAGGAUUAGAUACCCUGGUAGUCCACACUGUAAACGAUGAAUGCUAGGUGUAGGAGGUAUCGACCCCUUCUGUGCCGCAGUAAACACAGUAAGCAUUCCGCCUGGGGAGUACGGUCGCAAGAUUAAAACUCAAAGGAAUUGGCGGGG